UCACCAUCAGAAAUGAAUAACGUCAAGUCAUGAAUAAAGUUUAUUUGUGUCCCUGCCCAUAUCAAACUGGCUCGGUGAGAAACUAAAGCACUUGAAGCACAAGCUGAGUGUGGAAGUGGACUGUCAUAAGUGAUAUUCUCCACUGUUUGUUGCUUUAUAUCUUCAGAACUUUAGAAGUUUUUUGCUAUAAUUAUCAGAUAUGUUUUGGCUUAAAGUACUUGGAAUAAUGUGUGGGUUACAAAUAUCUUUUGCUGCUCGGCCCAGUGUAUCUACCUUCAAGGAAUCAAUGCCUAAAGAAACCGUUCAGCUCACUUGUAUAGCCGAUGGAUUCUACCCUAAAGCUAUUGACAUACAGUGGUACAAAGGUGAAGCAGAACCUGUACCAGCAAAGAGUGGAAAACUUCUACUGAAUGAUGAUAACACCUACAAGUUCAGCAAGGCUGUGAAUGUGAGUCGUGCUGAUUAUGAAAAACCUUCCUACUACUGCCACGUAAAUCAUGCCAGCCUGCCAAGAGAACUCAUUGUGCCCUCGAAUUAAAAAGGAUAAAAAUCAAGCAAAGUGAAGAGAUCAGUCCUAUUUUAAUCAAACCUUUGAACUACACAAUGGAUCAACGAGGUUCAAGGCCAGAAAACAAACAGUGGGAAACAAAUUAUGGCUGCUGUUGGGUGGUCUUAUGAGCAAAGAUGUCUGUCCAUCUGAUCUUCUGUAAGAGGAGUCUUCAUAAAUAUUUUUCCUUCAUUCUAA